rnacentral:rRNA from 1 species
GAUGAACGCUGGCGGCGUGCCUAAUACAUGCAAGUCGAGCGAACGGACGAGAAGCUUGCUUCUCUGAUGUUAGCGGCGGACGGGUGAGUAACACGUGGAUAACCUACCUAUAAGACUGGGAUAACUUCGGGAAACCGGAGCUAAUACCGGAUAAUAUUUUGAACCGCAUGGUUCAUAAGUGAAAGACGGUCUUGCUGUCACUUAUAGAUGGAUCCGCGCUGCAUUAGCUAGUUGGUAAGGUAACGGCUUACCAAGGCAACGAUGCAUAGCCGACCUGAGAGGGUGAUCGGCCACACUGGAACUGAGACACGGUCCAGACUCCUACGGGAGGCAGCAGUAGGGAAUAGUCCGCAAUGGGCGAAAGCCUGACGGAGCAACGCCGCGUGAGUGAUGAAGGUCUUCGGAUCGUAAAACUCUGUUAUUAGGGAAGAACAUAUGUGUAAGUAAAUGUGCACAUCUUGACGGUACCUAAUCAGAAAGCCACGGCUAACUACGUG